rnacentral:rRNA from 1 species
UCCUACGGGAGGCAGCAGUGGGGAAUUUUGGACAAUGGGCGAAAGCCUGAUCCGGCAAUGCCGCGUGUGUGAAGAAGGCCUUCGGGUUGUAAAGCACUUUUGUCCGGAAAGAAAUCCUUGGCUCUAAUACAGUCGGGGGAUGACGGUACCGGAAGAAUAAGCACCGGCUAACUACGUGCCAGCAGCCGCGGUAAUACGUAGGGUGCGAGCGUUAAUCGGAAUUACUGGGCGUAAAGCGUGCGCAGGCGGUUUGCUAAGACCGAUGUGAAAUCCCCGGGCUCAACCUGGGAACUGCAUUGGUGACUGGCAGGCUAGAGUAUGGCAGAGGGGGGUAGAAUUCCACGUGUAGCAGUGAAAUGCGUAGAGAUGUGGAGGAAUACCGAUGGCGAAGGCAGCCCCCUGGGCCAACACUGACGCUCAUGCACGAAAGCGUGGGGAGCAAACAGGAUUAGAUACCCUGGUAGUCCACGCCCUAAACGAUGUCAACUAGUUGUUGGGGAUUCAUUUCCUUAGUAAUGUAGCUAACGCGUGAAGUUGACCGCCUGGGGAGUACGGUCGCAAGAUUAAAACUCAAAGGAAUUGACGGGGACCCGCACAAGCGGUGGAUGAUGUGGGUUAAUUCGAUGCAACGCGAAAAACCUUACCUACCCUUGACAUGGUCGGAAUCCCGCUGAGAGGUGGGAGUGCUCAAAAGAGAACCGGCGCACAGGUGCUGCAUGGCUGUCGUCAGCUCGUGUCGUGAGAUGUUGGGUUAAGUCCCGCAACGAGCGCAACCCUUGUCCUUAGUUGCUACGCAAGAGCACUCUAAGGAGACUGCCGGUGACAAACCGGAGGAAGGUGGGGAUGACGUCAAGUCCUCAUGGCCCUUAUGGGUAGGGCUUCACACGUCAUACAAUGGUCGGAACAGAGGGUUGCCAACCCGCGAGGGGGAGCUAAUCCCAGAAAACCGAUCGUAGUCCGGAUUGCACUCUGCAACUCGAGUGCAUGAAGCUGGAAUCGCUAGUAAUCGCGGAUCAGCAUGCCG